rnacentral:rRNA from 1 species
AGGGGUUCGCUCUCUUGUGCACUUCUUCGCUUGGCAGGGUUAGCAUCAAUUUUGGUCGUCAUAAAAUUAUCGGGGUAAGGUGGCUCCCCUCGGGGAGUGUUAUAGACCUUGGUAGAUGUGAUGACCGGGAUUGAGGAUUGCAGCGAAUGCUAUUUGGCUAGUCACCUG